GAAAGUAGAAGUAUGGGGGGUGAGACCUGCCCAAUGGUUGUAUCUAAAAGGGUCGGUUGGGCCGACUUUAUAAAGACAAUUGAAUGGCUGCGGUAACACUGACCGUGAAAAUGUAGCGUAAUCAAUAGUCAAUUAAUUGUUGGCCGGUAUGAAUGGUGCCACGAGGGUCUCACUGUCUUAAGAAAAUCCCCAGUGAAAUUGAAUUUGUAGUGAAGAUGCUACAUAAAAAUUGUUGGACGAGAAGUCCCCAUGAAACUUUACUGGAGACUUAUGUGGCUUGUGCUGACUGAUCGAACUAGGCUCAAUCAGUGAAAGCAUCUAACAAAUAAAUAGCUUAGACUAUGUGGUGUUAACCGUUUUAUUUAAAACUUUUGGGAGUAGUGUUUAGAGUAGUCUUCAGACUAAAGUAAAAAACACAUGUAUUUUUUACAGACCCGCCUCUUUCAAAAUUUAGGUUAGUCAAACUCAUCUUUUAUUUUAAGAAAGCUAACUCUUCUUUUGAAUUAAGUUCGAUUGGUGGGGGGUACCCCACCACAUUUUAGGAGUGGUGAAUUUCUGGGUUAGAGAAAUGGGGUAAGUUAGACAGUUUGGUUGGGGCGAUCGCCUUUUAAAAAGUAACGAAGGUGAGCGUAAGAUACAUAUUUAAUAGCUGUCGUCUGACUGUGAAGGGGGGGCCCUGAGCAGACACUAAAAACCGCCUUGUGCGGGGAAUAGUGGGUUGCAGUGACCCGUUGAUUUAAGGUGAAAUAGUUAACGAUAAACAAAUAAAAGUUACUCUGGGGAUAACAGCGCAAUAACGUUAGAGGGUUUUUCUUGAUGACGAUGUUUGCGACCUCGAUGUUGAAUUGCGGCAUCCUGGGGUGCAGUCGCCCCCAAGGGUGGGUCUGUUCGUCCCUUAAAGCC
rnacentral:rRNA from 1 species